AUACGUAGGGGGCGAGCGUUGUCCGGAAUGAUUGGGCGUAAAGGGCGCGUAGGCGGCCCGGUAAGUCUGGAGUGAAAGUCCUGUUUUUAAGAUGGGAAUUGCUUUGGAUACUGUCGGGCUUGAGUGCAGGAGAGGUAAGUGGAAUUCCCAGUGUAGCGGUGAAAUGCGUAGAGAUUGGGAGGAACACCAGUGGCGAAGGCGACUUACUGUACUGUAACUGACGCUGAGGCGCGAAAGUGUGGGGAGCAAACAGGAUUAGAUACCCUGGUAGUCCACACUGUAAACGAUGAAUGCUAGGUGUAGGGGGUAUCGACCCCUUCUGUGCCGCAGUCAACACAAUAAGCAUUCCGCCUGGGGAGUACGGCCGCAAGGUUGAAACUUAAAGGAAUUGACGGGG
rnacentral:rRNA from 1 species